rnacentral:misc_RNA from 1 species
UUUCCGUAGGUGAACCUGCGGAAGGAUCAUUACCGAGUUGAUUCGGGCUCCGGCCCGAUCCUCCCACCCUUUGUGUACCUACCUCUGUUGCUUUGGCGGGCCGCGGUCCUCCGCGGCCGCCCCCCUCCCCGGGGGGUGGCCAGCGCCCGCCAGAGGACCAUCAAACUCCAGUCAGUAAACGAUGCAGUCUGAAAAACAUUUAAUAAACUAAAACUUUCAACAACGGAUCUCUUGGUUCUGGCAUCGAUGAAGAACGCAGC